UCAGUAGUAGUGUUAUUUAAAUAAAACAGUAGAAGGUCCCGUAUGUCCUUAUUAUAUGCAUCUCCUUGCAUCCUCUGCAUAAGCCUGGAUAGGGCACUGCAGAAAUCAUGUAUCAUAUAACAUAGAUAAGUGGUGGUAGAAAUAUGGGGACAAUUUCAGGUCUGGGUCGGCCAACAUGCUUUUUCUGUGGUUAUUUGUCCAACCUUGACCUGGUCUUAAGUCAGAUUUGGAACGAGGGGAUAUAUCUGUGCCCUGACCUGGUUACAUUCUGGGUGUCCAUGUCUGACCUGGUCUGUGAAAGCAUAACGUUUAAUGCAUACUAAUCAAAACAAAGAAUUAUUUUUCAUUUUUUUUGGGAUCAAUGGUAAGAGUUUAAUCAACACUAAAACAUGCUGAUUUCAAGAUUUGAACUCAAAACCUAGUGCUAGAAAACCAUGACCCUUACAGUCUUACGGACAAAACUACUAUUCAUGUCAUUUUAUUUAAUUUAAGUUAUUAUUUAUCAAAUAUUAAUAUUUCUAAUUCAGACAAAAACAGAUCAACUUGUCCAAAUUUCCAGACAUGGACUGGCGUAAACUGACCAAACCAACCCUCUUAAAUUUGGGUAACCUAUUCUUGCCUAGACCUGGAUUUUUAGGAAGAUUCUUGUCUGGACACUGGACCCAGUUUUAAUCAGGCAUAUGGUCAGACAGGAUGGUCAAAAUAUUGCCAACCCAGCAUAGAACAAAUAUGUGAGGAUGGUGUAUGAUUCAAUCUCUCUCUCUCUCUCUCUCUCUCUCUCUCUCUCUGCUUAUUCAGUCUCGUUUUGCAAAUUUUUUUGCAUGUCAGAAGAUAUUCAAGGUUAGUUCUAGGUGUUAAGUGUUGAAUCGAACAUAUCAGUCGACAGAGGUAUUCAUGGAGUGCCAGGUUGGCUAGUAAUGUUAGGUUGUUUCAAAUCUCUCUUGCAUUCAUUCUCUUUUGAGCUAUCUGACAUGGUGGUCCUCCAAAUCUCAAAAAGAAGCCAAUAAUUUUAGUGGUUGGUUGCUUCUUCAAUGAUCAAUUCUCUUUCAGCCAACUAUCUGACCUGGCGCUGGCAGUCCUCCAAACAUUUUGCAACGGCGCAUCUGUUUGGUGACAAAAAGAAGCCAUCAAAUUAACUGCAAGAGCUCUUGCACACUGGAAGCCUUAGAUGGGGUUCUUGAUCCCUGGGUUUGUGUUAUUGGAUUUAGAUGCAUAACUGAUGACUCUGUCAUUUUCUUUCAAACCUGAAACAUUGAUUUCAGACGCAUUAGACCACAUUUUUGUUAGCUGAGAGAGUAUGAGAUGCAUUAACAUGGUUCUGUUUCUUGAUUCAUGUUUAUGGAGUGUUGCUGGUAGAGCUUUUUCUAAUGGAAUUGUCAAAUCAAGGUCCAAAUAGAAGUGGACCUCAAGGUUUUUCAUAUUUAUGCUAUAUGGUGUAGGAGGAUAAUCUUUAAAUGUAUUCAUGAAUUUCUGUGAACUACAAUGAUCAUCGAUUUUCUAUUGUAGCUGGUUGAUAUUUUACCAGUUGGAGUGAAGUGUUCUGCAGUUUCUACUUUCUUGUUGGAUUGUAAUGAUCCAUUGCACUCACAAAUGUUUCUGAUUUUGUUUUUUCUGUAGUUACCUGGCUGAACACGGAGGAUUAAUACCUAAUUUAAAUCUCCAGCUUGUGACCUCUUAGUUCAGGCUGAGAAUAUUAUCAUUUUCCUGUCUCUUGUUGUUUUGAUCAGUGGAGUUGUUGAGGAAUAGAUUCUUUUGAAAUUUUUACUGGAGAGACAAAUGGUUCCGAACCAGAUGUUGCAUCAUAUUCUCAAGACCAGCAUCUCCUGCUCCUUGAUCACUUGAUGCAUCUAGGGGGUCACUGUGCUCUCAUAGAUAGUAAAUUCUAGCUGUAGAUGGAAGCUUUUUAAUGGUGUGUGGGAGGUCUGAACCCAUCAAAGGAACCUGCUUCCAUUCCAUUCUUGGUGCCUGCAACCCCUACUAAGGAUGGGUCGCUGUUGUGCUUGUUAAUUCCACUCCACACUGUCCCUCGGAGUCGAGACCAACAAAGGAGGAACCCUUAGUUUUUAGUUAUGGAUCUACAAGGAGUCUGCUGGAAUUGAAAACCAGAAACAUCUUGCAAGAGGUGCAAUAUGCAAUGGACCAAGGAUACGAGAAAGUUGAACUAUGGCUGGGGUGAUUGUGGCUUGGUUGCAGCAUCGAUCAGGAUAGAUAGUCGUUCGUGUGCUUUAAUUUUUUUUU